UACAGAGGUCUCAAGCGUUGUUCGGAUUCAUUGGGCGUAAAGGGUGCGUAGGUGGCGCCGUAAGUCAGGUGUGAAAUUUCGGAGCUUAACUCCGAAACUGCAUUUGAUACUGCGGUGCUUGAGGACUGGAGAGGAGACUGGAAUUCACGGUGUAGCAGUGAAAUGCGUAGAUAUCGUGAGGAAGACCAGUGGCGAAGGCGGGUCUCUGGACAGUUCCUGACACUGAGCACGAAGGCCAGGGGAGCAAACGGG
rnacentral:rRNA from 1 species